ensembl:lncRNA
CCCUUCCAGAACAAGGGCGAGGGAACAGACUCGGAAGCCAAAAGGACACUUACAUUGUGAGGACGACCAGAGAGUUGCGCCUGAGAAGUGCGUCAUUGAGCAGCCUGAACGGUCCACGCGGAGAAUCCACGGAGACCUUCCCCAUGGAAGAGCUAUGGUUCCACUGAGGAAGCCAAACAUAAGGAGGUCUGGUUAGCUACUAGGACGAGAGUGAUGGAACACAACAAGCGGGCAGAGAAUGGCUCGGAGAGCUUCACCGUGGGGAUGAAUCAUGCUUCUGACAGGGUAUGAUCACGACUACUGGGAAGGUUACAAGAUGAAGGACACAUCGAUGGCUCUGAACGAACUUUAACCCUCGCAAGGCUGCAGGCCCAGACGGCAUCCCCAGCCGCGCCCUCAGAGCAUGCGCAGACCAGCUGGCUGGUGUGUUUACGGACAUAUUCAAUCAAUCCUUAUCCCAGUCUGCUGUUCCCACAUGCUUCAAGAUGGCCACCAUUGUUCCUGUUCCCAAGAAAGCUAAGGUAACUGCGCUAAACGACUACCGCCCUGUAGCACUCACUUCCAUCAUCAUGAAGUGCUUUGAGAGACUAGUCAAGGACCAUAUCACCUCCACCCUACCUGACACCCUAGACCCAGUCCAAUUUGCUUACUGCCCAAAUAGGUCCACAGACGAUGCAAUCUCAACCACACUGCCCUAACCCAUCUGGACAAGAGGAAUACCUAUGUGAGAAUGCUGUUCAUCGACUACAGCUCAGCAAUUAACACCAUAGUACCCUCCAAACUCGUCAUCAAGCUCAAGACCCUGGGUCUCGACUCUGCCCUGUGCAACUGGGUACUGGACUUCCUGACGGGCCGCCCCCAGGUGGUGAGGGUAGGUAACAUCUCCACCCUGCUGAUCCUCAACACAAGGGUGCGUUCUGAGCCCUCUCCUGUACUCCCUGUUCACCCACGACUGCGUGGCCAUGCACGCCUCCAACUCAAUCAUCAAGUUUGCGGAUGACACAACAGUGGUAGGCUUGAUUACCAACAACGGCAAGACGGCCUACAGGGAGGAGGUGAGGGCCCUCGGAGUGUGGUGUCAGGAAAAUAACCUCACACUCAACGUCAACAAAACUAAGGAGAUGAUUGUGGACUUCAGGAAACAGCAGAGGGAACACCCCCCUAUCCACAUCGAUGGAACAGUAGUGGAGAGGGUAGUAAGUUUUAAGUUCCUUGGCGUACACAUCACAGACAAACUGAAUUGGUCCACCCACACAGACAGCAUCGUGAAGAAGGCGCAGCAGCGCCUCUUCAACCUCAGG